rnacentral:rRNA from 1 species
GCUACGGGAGGCAGCAGUGAGGAAUAUUGGUCAAUGGGCGCGAGCCUGAACCAGCCAAGUAGCGUGAAGGAUGACUGCCCUACGGGUUGUAAACUUCUUUUAUAAAGGAAUAAAGUGAGGCACGUGUGCCUUUUUGUAUGUACUUUAUGAAUAAUGAUCGGCUAACUCCGUGCCAGCAGCCGCGGUAAUACGGAGGAUCCGAGCGUUAACCGGAUUUAUUGGGUGUAAAGGGAGCGUAGAUGGGUUGGUAAGUCCGUGGUGAAAGUUUGGGGCUCAACCGGAAAAUUGCAAGUGAUACUGGCAGUCGUGAGUACAGUUGAGGUAGGCGGAAUUCGGGGUGUAGCGGUGAAAUGCUUAGAGAUCACGAAGAACUCCGAUUGCGAAGGCAGCUUACUAAACUGCCACUGACAUUGAUGCUCGAAAGUGUGGGUAUCAAACAGGAUUAGAUACCCGAGUAGUC